rnacentral:rRNA from 7 species
GGGUUGUGAGGUUAAGCGACUAAGCGUACACGGUGGAUGCCCUGGCAGUCAGAGGCGAUGAAGGGCGUGCUAAUCUGCGAUAAGCGCCGGUAAGGUGAUAUGAACCGUUAUAACCGGCGAUACCCGAAUGGGGAAACCCAGUGUGAUUCGUCACACUAUCAUUAACUGAAUCCAUAGGUUAAUGAGGCGAACCGGGGGAACUGAAACAUCUAAGUACCCCGAGGAAAAGAAAUCAACCGAGAUUCCCCCAGUAGCGGCGAGCGAACGGGGAGGAGCCCAGAGCCUGAAUCAGCAUGUGUGUUAGUGGAAGCGUCUGGAAAGGCGCGCGAUACAGGGUGACAGCCCCGUACACAAAAGCGCAUGUGCUGUGAGCUCGAUGAGUAGGGCGGGACACGUGGUAUCCUGUCUGAAUAUGGGGGGACCAUCCUCCAAGGCUAAAUACUCCUGACUGACCGAUAGUGAACCAGUACCGUGAGGGAAAGGCGAAAAGAACCCCGGCGAGGGGAGUGAAAAAGAACCUGAAACCGUGUACGUACAAGCAGUGGGAGCACCCUUCGGGGUGUGACUGCGUACCUUUUGUAUAAUGGGUCAGCGACUUAUAUUCUGUAGCAAGGUUAACCGUAUAGGGGAGCCGGAGGGAAACCGAGUCUUAAUUGGGCGUUAAGUUGCAGGGUAUAGACCCGAAACCCGGUGAUCUAGCCAUGGGCAGGUUGAAGGUUGGGUAACACUAACUGGAGGACCGAACCGACUAAUGUUGAAAAAUUAGCGGAUGACCUGUGGCUGGGGGUGAAAGGCCAAUCAAACCGGGAGAUAGCUGGUUCUCCCCGAAAGCUAUUUAGGUAGCGCCUCGUGAAUUCAUCUCCGGGGGUAGAGCACUGUUUCGGCUAGGGGGCCAUCCCGGCUUACCAACCCGAUGCAAACUGCGAAUACCGGAGAAUGUUAUCACGGGAGACACACGGCGGGUGCUAACGUCCGUCGUGAAGAGGGAAACAACCCAGACCGCCAGCUAAGGUCCCAAAGUCAUGGUUAAGUGGGAAACGAUGUGGGAAGGCCCAGACAGCCAGGAUGUUGGCUUAGAAGCAGCCAUCAUUUAAAGAAAGCGUAAUAGCUCACUGGUCGAGUCGGCCUGCGCGGAAGAUGUAACGGGGCUAAACCAUGCACCGAAGCUGCGGCAGCGAACGUAUCACCCAAGACAACUUUACGGAGUUGACGAUUGACGGAGCGAAGCGACGUCAAAGCGUUCAUUAAAGUCGAGUUGGCUUAGGGAUACGUUCGUUGGGUAGGGGAGCGUUCUGUAAGCCUGUGAAGGUGUGUCGUGAGGCAUGCUGGAGGUAUCAGAAGUGCGAAUGCUGACAUAAGUAACGAUAAAGCGGGUGAAAAGCCCGCUCGCCGGAAGACCAAGGGUUCCUGUCCAACGUUAAUCGGGGCAGGGUGAGUCGACCCCUAAGGCGAGGCCGAAAGGCGUAGUCGAUGGGAAACGGGUUAAUAUUCCCGUACUUGGUGUUACUGCGAAGGGGGGACGGAGAAGGCUAUGUUGGCCGGGCGACGGUUGUCCCGGUUUAAGCGUGUAGGUGUGUGUUCCAGGUAAAUCCGGUUCACUUUAACACUGAGGCGUGACGACGAGGCACUACGGUGCUGAAGCAACAAAUGCCCUGCUUCCAGGAAAAGCCUCUAAGCAUCAGGUAACACGAAAUCGUACCCCAAACCGACACAGGUGGUCAGGUAGAGAAUACCAAGGCGCUUGAGAGAACUCGGGUGAAGGAACUAGGCAAAAUGGUGCCGUAACUUCGGGAGAAGGCACGCUGACACGUAGGUGAAGUGAUUUACUCAUGGAGCUGAAGUCAGUCGAAGAUACCAGCUGGCUGCAACUGUUUAUUAAAAACACAGCACUGUGCAAACACGAAAGUGGACGUAUACGGUGUGACGCCUGCCCGGUGCCGGAAGGUUAAUUGAUGGGGUCAGCGUAAGCGAAGCUCCUGAUCGAAGCCCCGGUAAACGGCGGCCGUAACUAUAACGGUCCUAAGGUAGCGAAAUUCCUUGUCGGGUAAGUUCCGACCUGCACGAAUGGCGUAAUGAUGGCCAGGCUGUCUCCACCCGAGACUCAGUGAAAUUGAACUCGCUGUGAAGAUGCAGUGUACCCGCGGCAAGACGGAAAGACCCCGUGAACCUUUACUAUAGCUUGACACUGAACAUUGAGCCUUGAUGUGUAGGAUAGGUGGGAGGCUUUGAAGUGUGGACGCCAGUCUGCAUGGAGCCGACCUUGAAAUACCACCCUUUAAUGUUUGAUGUUCUAACGUGGACCCGUAAUCCGGGUUGCGGACAGUGUCUGGUGGGUAGUUUGACUGGGGCGGUCUCCUCCUAAAGAGUAACGGAGGAGCACGAAGGUUGGCUAAUCCUGGUCGGACAUCAGGAGGUUAGUGCAAUGGCAUAAGCCAGCUUGACUGCGAGCGUGACGGCGCGAGCAGGUGCGAAAGCAGGUCAUAGUGAUCCGGUGGUUCUGAAUGGAAGGGCCAUCGCUCAACGGAUAAAAGGUACUCCGGGGAUAACAGGCUGAUACCGCCCAAGAGUUCAUAUCGACGGCGGUGUUUGGCACCUCGAUGUCGGCUCAUCACAUCCUGGGGCUGAAGUAGGUCCCAAGGGUAUGGCUGUUCGCCAUUUAAAGUGGUACGCGAGCUGGGUUUAGAACGUCGUGAGACAGUUCGGUCCCUAUCUGCCGUGGGCGCUGGAGAACUGAGGGGGGCUGCUCCUAGUACGAGAGGACCGGAGUGGACGCAUCACUGGUGUUCGGGUUGUCAUGCCAAUGGCACUGCCCGGUAGCUAAAUGCGGAAGAGAUAAGUGCUGAAAGCAUCUAAGCACGAAACUUGCCCCGAGAUGAGUUCUCCCUGAGACUUAGAGUCUCCUGAAGGAACGUUGAAGACGACGACGUUGAUAGGCCGGGUGUGUAAGCGCAGCGAUGCGUUGAGCUAACCGGUACUAAUGAACCGUGAGGCUUAACCUUACAACGCCGAAG